rnacentral:rRNA from 1 species
UCCUACGGGGGGCAGCAGUGGGGAAUUUUGGACAAUGGGCGCAAGCCUGAUCCAGCCAUGCCGCGUGCGGGAAGAAGGCCUUCGGGUUGUAAACCGCUUUUGUCAGGGAAGAAAAGGUUCUGGCUAAUACCUGGGACUCAUGACGGUACCUGAAGAAUAAGCACCGGCUAACUACGUGCCAGCAGCCGCGGUAAUACGUAGGGUGCAAGCGUUAAUCGGAAUUACUGGGCGUAAAGCGUGCGCAGGCGGUUAUGCAAGACAGAGGUGAAAUCCCCGGGCUCAACCUGGGAACUGCCUUUGUGACUGCAUAGCUAGAGUGCGGCAGAGGGGGAUGGAAUUCCGCGUGUAGCAGUGAAAUGCGUAGAUAUGCGGAGGAACACCGAUGGCGAAGGCAAUCCCCUGGGCCUGCACUGACGCUCAUGCACGAAAGCGUGGGGAGCAAACAGGAUUAGAUACCCUAGUAGUCGC